AAUCCCAGCAUACAACGGGAGUGGAGGUGGUGACCUUGAGAGAGGGCCUGUGCUGUGCGCGCCUCGCGGGGCAUGCUGGGAGCAGUAGCAUCUUAGCUGCUUCCGGCCGCUGGUCGCAGGGCUGCGGGACUACAAUCUUCGCAUGAAAUGGAAGAGAGGGUGGUGCGGAUAGCUUGAGGAAGGAACACUACAAGGCCUGUUAGAGAAGAAAGGGUAGAAUCCCGAGAAUGUUUUCCCCACAGUGCUGAUAAGGAGAGACCACUAUCCCAUCUACUGCUACAGCUCUGGAGACAGAGCUCUCCCACCUGUCAUAUAGAACACAAGGACCAAUCUGCAGAGAAAGAGCAUCCAAACCUGAUCCAGUGGACACUGGGGAAAAACUCACCACAGCUGAGUGUGGAAAAACAAGGCCAACACACACAUCUCUGCACAGAUACAUCUCCCAUAAAGAAACUAAAGUGUUAAUUUACAGGGCACUGUUGCAGACCCACUUCAGCUGGAAGCUAGGAACAUGGACAAGGAGCCUCUCUACCACCAAGGGAGAGAGAGGAAUGUGCUCUUGUCCUGGCAUUGCAUCCACAGGAGGGGCAGGAAAUUCUUUGAAGAGUCUUGCCCUGUUGCUCUGGCUGGAGUGUAGUGGCAUGAUGUCAGCUCACUGCAACCGUCACCUCCCGGGUUCAAGCAAUUUUUCCGCCUCAGUCUCCUGAGCAGCUGGUAUUACAGGCGCCCACCACCACGCCCAGCUAAUUUUUUUGUAUUUUUAGGAGAGAUGGGGUCCCUCUCUGGUGGUAAAAUUGAUGAGAAUAUGACACUUUUUAUCAUUAAUCUAGUAAAAAUAAAACAAAGUGUUAUUUUUCUGAUAUAGAUUUAUACUUCAGUAUAUGUCAGGCAGACUGUAAAGAACUCUAUCAGAAUAUUGAUAAAAUAAUGCAACACUAAAUAUUAAAUAUUAUAUACUUAUAUAUAAUUAUUAUAUUGCCCAAAAUAGCAUAUUCUCUAAUGCGUAUUUUGCAGUAGGUUUGUAAAUAGCUUCUUUCUCUCAUGACAAUCUUUCUUCUUUUUCUAAUGUCUGAUCAAGCCCAUAGACUUUAUAAUCAGUCUUUGGUUCCUGGUCCAUUUAAUUAAUGGUGGUGUUUUCCCUAACAUCCAUAAUUGUGCAUAUGCUUUGUGGCUUACAGUAUUAAGAAUACCCCAAUAUAUAAGUGAGGAUAAUGAAGAUAAACUUGAUCUGUAUUAUCUGCCUUCUGAGAGUGCUCAGGGGCUUUACCUUCAACCGAAGGGCAAGCUGGUUGCUACGUCUCAUAGUGAGUGCUGAGUUUUGCAUUUAGAUUGAUAAGUGUGUGCUGUAUCCAAUAGAAGCGAAUUCUUCUUUACACUCAGAUCGACCUAUGUGACUUCAUGGGUUUUUGUUCUAUUUCACUCGGGUAUGCCCAGGUUUUCAGAUCUCAUGACUACUUUAUUUUGGAGUUGCCAGACUCAGCAAAUAAAAAUACACGACACACAGUUAAGUUUAAUAUUCAGAAAGAAAACUGUUGUGGCAAGUCAGGGACCCCAAACGGAGGGACCGGCUGAAGCCAUGGCAGAAGAACAAGGAUUGUGAAGAUUUCAUGGACAUUUAUUAGUUCCCCAAAUUAAUACUUUUAUAAUUUCUUAUGUCUGUCUUUACUGCAAUCUCUAAACAUAAGUUGUGAAGAUUUCAUGGACACUUAUCACUUCCCCAGUCAAUAUCCUUGUGAUUUCCUAUGCCUGUCUUUACUUUAAUCUCUUAAUCCUGUCAGCUGAGAAGGAUGUAUAUUGCCUCAGGACCCUGUAAUAAUUGCAUUAACUGCACAAAUUAUACAGCGUGUGUGUUUAAACAAUAUGAAAUCUGGGCACUUUGAAAAAAGAACAAGAUAACAGCAGUGUUUAGGAAACAAGAUAGAUAGCCUUAAACUCUGACUGCUGGUGAGCCGGGCAGAACAGAGCCAUAUUUCUCUUCUUUCAAAAGCAAAUGGGAGAAAUAUCGCUGAAUUCUUUCUCAUGAUGGAACAUCCCUGAGAAAGAGAAUGUGUGCCUGCGGGUAGGUCUCUGAACUGGCCCCCCUGGGCAUAGCCUGUCUCUUAUGGUCGAGGCUGCCGAGAUGAAAUAGACUCCAGUCUCCCACAGCGCUCCCAGGCUUAUUAGGAAGAGGAAAUUCCCGCCUAAUAAAUUUUGGUCAGACCAGUUGAUCUCAAAACCCUGUCUCCUGAUAAGAUGUUAUCAAUGACAAUGGUGCCCAAAACUUCAUUAGCAAUUUUAAUUUCGCAUCGGUCCUGUGGUCCUGUGAUUGCGCCCUGCCUCCACUUGCCUUGUGAUAUUCUAUUAUCCUGUUAAGUACUUGAUGUCUGUCACCCACACCUAGUCGCACACUCCCUCCUCUUUUGAAAAUCUCUAGUAAAAACUUGCUGGUUUUUGUGGUUUGUGGGCCAUCACAGAUCCUACCAACGUGUGAUGUCUCCCCCGGACGCCCAGCUUUAAAAUUUCUCUUUUGUACUCUGUCCCUUUAUUUCUCAAGCUGGCCGACACUUAGGAAAAAUAGAAAAAAACCUACGUGAUUAUCGGGGCAGGUUCCCCAAUAGAAAACAAAUAACUUUUUAGUAUAACUAUAAAAUAAACAUUUGCGUGUAAUAUUUCUAUUCCCACCUAUUAUAUAUUACAUACAUACACACACACACACACACACACACAUCCUUUUGCUUACCUGAAUUUCAUAUUUAAUGUUCUUGGACUUUUUUUGUUGACCUCAAUCCAUAAGAACUGUAGUUCUCCCCAGUACAGUUUCAGCACCAAUGACCAAGUCUCAUCAGAGGAGGCCACAUGAUGAUCUAGCAGAUAGACUCUUUAUUCAGUAUGUGAGAGUCAUUUACAGACUGGGGACAUAAAUUAGAAAUGAUGAGCUGGAUGUCUUUUAGGGUGAAAAAUUACUAAAUUUCUAAUCUAUGUUACUUUUUCUAUUUAUUCUCUCUGUUACAUAACCUAUGAUACAGACAGAAUAAUAAUAUAAUUCUGAUACAUGGUUAAUGAAUAAUUCCACAUAUAUAUGUGAUUUAUAUCCAAAUAUUGCUUUACUUGUAGUGGUUUGUUAACCUUCUAAUGUGGAGAUCAUUGAGCCUUUCCGUGAGUAUUCUCCUGGUGUUUCUCCUGAGUGCCACAUGGCAACAGAUUUUAACUGAGCUGAGGGCCCAAAUGUGCAUUGUUGAGAACUAUCAAUUGCUUGGUUCUGGAAGUUGAAAUAAAUAUGUCCCUUUAUUAGAUUAAGUGCUUGAAGAAAAAGUAAAUAAGAUACUGCAAUUUCUCCCUAUAAACUCAUACAUAUCAGGUAUGCAGUUUCUUCUGUAUAAACUCAUACAUAUCAGAUAUGCACUUUCUCCUUUAUAAACUCAUACGUAUCAGGUGGGUUUAGAGCAAUAUUCUACCUCAGCCAUUAUUCUCUGAGUACAAGCCAAGAAUGCAAACUGUCACAUGAUCUGUAUUGCCUUGCAUAUUUAUGCUUACGGGCCAGAGUAGUUUUAACUGACGUUGAAAACAGUUGAACACUCUUACAUCUCACGGGAGGAAUAGAGUGAAUAUAAAAGAUUUUUCUCAGCAUUUUACAGCUGAAUUGUUCUACAUCCAGUAUUAAAUUGAUUUAAUAAAAUAAUACUGCCAGCAUCCAAAGAAGAUACCAUGAGAACAAUUUCUGAAUUAUUCAGUACAAUUUCAUAAUAAUAUUUUCAUACGGAGAUCUCUCAAUUAACAUAUGAGAGAAAUUGUCUUUAUUAUUUGAGAGCAAAGUAUUUUUGAAGACAUGAGUGGGUAUCUUUAUAUUAAGUGAAGUCUUAAGAAAAAGAUCCCCGUGUGAGCAUUUUAAUGUAACUUUAUGAAUGCCAUAAAUUUGAAAAAUGUGUUUUUUGUUCUCUGGAAAAUUGAGAGCAGGACUUUUUAACACUUCCAUUCUGAGACGUUAAAGAGAGUUAAUAUAAGGGGUCUCAUAUAAAAACUAAGCUAGAGGAGAACCAAAGCGUUUUGAAAAGAUACAGUUAGUACAACUGUAGGGACCAGCCCCACAGGGUUGGUGGGUCUCUCCCCAUGUGUGGAGACAAGAGAGUGUGUAGAAAUAAAGACACAAGACAAAGAUAAAAGAAAAGGCAGCUGGGCCUGGGGGACCACUACCACCAAGUCGCGGAGACUGGUAGUGGCCCCAAAUGCCAGGCUGCACUGAUAUUUAUUGGAUAUAAGACAAAGGGGCAGGAUAAGGAGAGUUAGCCAUCUCCAAUCAUAGGUAAGGCCACGUGGGUCACAUGUCCACUGGACAGGGGCCCCUUCCCUGCCUGGCAGCCAAGGCAGAGAGAGAGAGGAGACAGAGAGAAACAGCUUACGCCAUUAUUUCUGCUUAUUAGAGACUUUUAGUACUUUCACUAAUUUUGCUACUGCUAUCUAGAAGGCAGAGCCAGGUGUACAGGAUGGAACAUGAAGGCGGACUAGGAGCGUGACCACUGAAGCACAGCAUCACAGGGAGUUGGUUAGGCCUCCGGAUAACUGUGGGCGAGCCUGACUAAUGUUAGGCUCCACAAGAAGUGGAGGAGUAGAGUCUUCUCUAAACCGCCCCCACCCCGCGGGGAAAGGGAGACUCCCAUUCCCGGUCUGCUAAGUAGCCGGUGUUUUUCCUUGACACUGAGGCUACCGCUAGACCACGGUCCGCCUGGCAACGGGCAUCUUCCCAGACGAUGGCGUUACCGCUAGACCAAGGAGCCCUCUGGUGGCCCUGUCUGGGCAUAACAGAAGCCUCGCACUCUUGUCUUCUGGUCACACUCCUCACUAUGUCCCCUCAGCUCCUAUCUCUGUAUGGCCUUUUUUUUCCUAGGUUAUGAUUAUAGAGUGAGGAUUAUUAUAAUACUGGAAUAAAGAGUAAUUGCUACAAACUAAUGAUUAAUGAUAUUCAUAUAUAAUCAUAUCUAAGAUCUAUAUUUGGUAUAACUAUUCUUGUUUUAUGUUUUAUUAUACUGGAACAGCUUGUGUCCUUGGUCUCUUGCCUCGGCACCUGGGUGGCUUGCUGCCCACAUACAACAAUGUUCAUAUCCUAAACUCCAGAAUCUGUGAAUAUCUUAGGUAAUGUGACAAAGGAAAAUUAAGAUAUAGAUAGUGUCAAGGUUAACAAGCAGCUGACUUCAUGAUAAAUUAUCUUUAUCAUGAGCAGAAGCCUCACGUAAUUAGAAGGGCGCUUAAAUAUGAAAGAGGGAGAAAAAAAGAAACUUUAUCACACUGAUGUGAUAUUAGGUCAACUCAAUGCAAUAUUUUUUUCCUAAGAAAAUUUUUGGGGAUUAUUUUCCCAUUAGCAUAAAGUUCAGUUCAGUUGUUCAAACACCUGUGAUUUAUUUUUACAUGCAUAUUACUAUGGAUGGUGAUAAUUAAACAAAAAAUGCAGAAAAUAAAGAAAUGCUUUCUGAAGAGUGAGCCCAGGUACUAUAUUAUUAUAUGAGUAUAGACAAUGUGGACCGUACAUGUGAUUACAUGUGAUUGUAAAUGUGUGGAUGUUUUAUAUAUGUAUAAGUAAUUUGUUGUAUAAUAUAGUGCUCAGGCUGCAUUUUUAAAAAUUUGUAUGAGGUGGGUUUGAUCAAGAUAAAUGGGUGAAAUAAAAAUGAUAAGGUUGGUAAUAGUUUUGACUAUGCAAUAAAUAACAUUGAUGAUAGAAGUCUUAUUGCGUUUUUCAAAUAUAGAAAAGAUGAUUCCUCUUCAUCAUUAAGAUUACCAUGUUGCACUUAUAGUAAUAUAAAAAAUGCCCUUUUCUUCCAAGCUGUCAUCAGACUUACAGCCAACACCUUCCUUCUCUUCCACAUCUUCACAACCCUUCUGGAUCACAAGCCUAAGUCCACUGACCACAUCACCUGUCACCUGGACCUUGCACACUUAGUGAUGCUCCUCAUUGCGGUCUUCUUGGCAUCUCCAGACCUGUUUAAGUAACUACAUUUGCAGAAUAACUUAAAGUGCAAGGCAUUUUUCUACAUGUACAGGGUGAUGAGGAGCCUCUCCAGCUCCAUCACCUUUCUCCUGACUGUGCUCCAGGUCAUCACCAUCAGCCCCAGCACCUCCUGGUUGGUGAAGACUAAACAGAAAUUCACAGGUUACAUUUUCUACUCCUGUUUCUUCCUAUGGGUUCUCAGUUUGUCUCUCAGUAGUAACCUGCUUUCCCCCACUGUGGCUUCUUCUAAAGUGACCAAGACUGAUGUGCUAAGUAUCAGUAAAUACUGCUCACUUUCUUACAUAAGCUACAUCUUCUAAUAUGACAAAGACUGAUGUGCUAAGUUGUGCUUUAUUUCUUGUCAUUCUAUUAUUCCUAUACAUAUAAUUACAUUCAUAUUGCUAUUAUUUUCUCUUUUUUAUAUGGUUGUAUUCAUUCUGCUGAAAACUCCAGUUCACUAAUCCAGUUCACUAAUUCUGUCGUCAACUCAGUCUAAUUUUAUAUUUAACUCACAUAUUGUAUAUUAAAUUUAUUUACUUUUAAAUUAUUCCACUUAUAUUUGUCUCUUUUCCAAAUUUGCUUGUUCAGUUUAUAGUUCCCUGCUGUUUCAAAAUUAUUUCGAUAUCCUCUUUUCCCCACUUGUUUUGACUUAAAGAUUUAAAAUAUAUAUCCGGCCAAGCACAGUGGCUCAUGCCUGUAAUCCCAAUACUUUGGGAGGCCGA
rnacentral:lncRNA from 1 species